AUGAUACGGUACCAGGUGCGCAACGAGUACGGGCUGGCGGAUCCGGCGCUGUACGCGCCGGAGGAGGAGGAGGAGGAUGACCCCGAGGCGCUGCUCGAGGGCGUCGCCAUGGCCGGCCUCGUCGGCCUGCUCCGCCAGCUCGGGGAUCUCGCUGAGUUCGCCGCAGAAAUUUUUCAUGACCUGCAUGAAGAUGUGAUGGCCACUGCUUCUCGAGGGCAUGGUUUGAUGCUUAGAUUGCAGCAGCUAGAGGCAGAAUUUCCUGCAGUUGAGAAGGCAAUUAUAGCACAGACUGACCAUUCAAAUUACCUACAUGAUAAUGGUAUUGAGUGGCACCCAAAUCUUCAGCUUAAUCAGAAUUUGAUCACGAUAGGAGAUAUGCCUCGUUUCAUUUUGGAUUCAUAUGAAGAAUGUCGUGGCCCACCACAUUUAUUCACGUUGGACAAGUUCGAUGUUGCUGGUGCCGGGGCCUCCUUAAAACGAUAUUCAGACCCCUCUUUCUUUAAGAUGGGACAGACCUCCAACAUGAUUGAACCGGAUUACUUAAGAGAGAAGAAGCCCCGUAGGAUAAAGAAAAAGGCUAUGCGAAGGAAAGGGGAAACACUCGAAUCAUUGCUUAUUGCGAACUCUGAGUCUCAAAUUACUUCAUCAAAGGAUCGAUCUUCUAGAAAAGUUCCACCAAGGACAACAAAACUGAAAUCCAGGCAUUUACGGGAUUCUUACAAUAAAACUAUAAGCAGAAUCUGCAGGGAACAAUUGCAAGAAGUAAUUUCAUCACAACAGAAGAUCUUGUCAAAUUGUUCUGCAAGGAACUUCCAUGCAAAAUUUAGGUCAACUGACUCGAGUGAAAUAAUAUCUUCAUUUGGAGAAUUAGACAAUUUCAGUGCUCCUGCUCAGUCUUUUACUAAACAUGAACUGACGAAGGUUGUCCCAGUAGACGAAUCUGAUACUUUGGUGACUGCAUCUGCACCCAUUAAUGGACCGAUUCAUCUUGAGGUAGAUGAUGGUCAAUAUCUGGCAACACAACAGGAACAUUUCGAAAUGGAACAGAUCUGCAAGGGAUCUCCAUUGCAGUCAGUGCAGGAAGAGAAACUUCAAUUGGCUGUAGUUCCUGUUUACCAUGAUGAUGAUCCCUGCAGGCCUGAUGAUAUUGGUAGUGAUCAAGACAAGUUUAUUGACACCCUUAAUAUAGAAUCAGAAGGUGAAGCCGAUCAUAGCAUGAAAAGUCAAAAGAAUCUCAGUGCCGAAAUGGAAGUGGAUAAUUUGAACUGUGAUGGCAAGGAAGCUGAAAGUGUGCUGGAUGUACAGUUUUCAGAACCAGGUCCUGUGGAAGACCUGUCAUCAGGGUUGAGCAAUCCAUGCAAUGACACAGAACCAACCCGUGCAGACUCAUUUCUGCUAAGUGAUUCUUCUCCUUCUGCAGUGUCAGACACAAAAGAUACAGACUCUGAUUCAGAUUCUUGCAAACAAGUGGGUGCUGAUAAUUGGAUCAACGACAAAGAAUCUUGUAAUGAUGUUGAUCUAAUGGAUGUCAGCUCAUCAUCCAGUGUAACCUCUGAUGACAAUGGUAACUUUGAAACUGACACUAAUCUCAAUGGCUGUGUACAAAACCAGGAGGCGUCUUUUCUCCCUACCAACGAUUAUCAUGCUGUUGCUAUCCCUAGUUCUGAAAAACAGUUAUCCCAGACAUCUAGUGGCUUGGAUGGUUUGGCUAGCAUUAGCAGUAAUUACCACGAAAUAGCAUAUCGCUCAGCGGAGGAUGGCCGAAAUAAUGUGGUAGAUGGUACUUCUACGAUAUCUGGACAACCCAAUGAUGUUUCACAUGCUGUUGGAGAAGUUGAAGUUCCACAUGCUGAUGAUUUGUUACUCCAGAGUGGCACACACAAUCAAGAACAAAUACAGUUGUCCAAGAAACCAUUUGAAGAAUGCACAUCUAUAGCUACAGUUGUCCAAGAAACAGAUACCAAAGUUGCAUCACUGCCAGACAUGGAUCCUGUUGUGCACAUGAAUGACUUGGAGUUCAACAAUGUUGCACUUCCUGCAGAAAUUGACACGAGUACAAAACCAACUAGUUUGGAUCCUGAUGUUACCCACAAGCAUUCUGACAAGCUUGAUUCAGGAGUUAUACCUAUUCAUUCAAUCACAUCAGAUAAUCCAUCGUUUGAAUCAGAUCAGGGUGAACUGGUUGAAGAAUCACACUGUUUACCAGAUGAAGAUCUAUAUAAGCAUAUCACAGAGGAUCAAGAAAUAGCUGCACUGGAAAAAGGGCCCUGUUCAGUUAGGCUCGACACACACAAAGAAGAUUCUAUGCAGGCGUCUGUUGUGCCCAUGCACUUCUCUAAUAUUCAGGUGAUCCCAGGACUUGCUGAAUCUGUACCUACUUUUCAAGAUGACACAGAAGCUCAUACAAGCAAGAUGCUGGAACAAUCUCCACGAGUAUUGAAUGAUGAUACAAAAUCAUCGUUGGUUGAUGUCCCAUCAGCUUCUAGUACUGCCCCUAUACUUGAUACCGUCAAGUCCUGCAUGGAAUACCAUGAAUCCAUUGAAACGAUAAAAAAUGUGGAGCACAGUGAAGUUCUGGUUGAUGCUGAGGUUGUAGAAGAAUCAACUACCGGCAGGUUUGAUGAUGACAGGAUACCUUCUGAAGAGGAGCAUACUGAUGGUGUCAAACAUACCGAGAAAGCAGAGGUUGAUGCCGAGGUUGUAGAAGAAUUGACUACCGGCAGGUUUGAUGAUGACAUGAUACCUUCUGAAGACGAGCAUACUGAUGGUGCCAAACAGACCGAGAAAGCAGAGGUUCUGCCUACAAAUUCUAGUCAUGAUAUACCAUUGCAAUCCAGUCCUUUCAGAGAAGACAUUGAAGCAGUUGAAGCUAUCUGUGAAAACCUUGGAUCACUAGAAGAGUCAAGAGGACAUAUCUUUAGAGAAAGUAUGCUGCAGAAGGAAAAUACACAGGAGCUCCUGCUGCAGACAGCCAAUCUUCCACACCCUAUUGAAAUAGAAACGUCAGGCGGAACACUGGGUGGCAGUGAUGAUAUUCUAUAUGUUCCGCCAUCGCAUUUUCCAGAAGAUUCUUCUUGUCAAGAGGAUUUAUCAGAAGAAACCACUCUAAUUGCUGAAGAAGUUCCAUGUCAGAGUGAUUUGGAUAAGGAUGUUACAGUAAGCCCGAACAGUAACAUGGUGUGGGAGCAACUAUCAGAUGUCGAUCAAGACUUGGUGAGGGAGUUAUCUGCUCAAGAUUCUUUUGGCACAAACCCAUUCGUCGAUCCUGGGUACAUGGUGAGCUCUACUGAUCCUUUGCCCAGUAUGAUCUAUCAACCAUGUUGCUCUGAAGAAGAAGACGAUUUUCUCUCAGAACUUCUAAUCCAGCAGUGUAAGAUCGAAGCAAAAGCGAACCUGUAUCCACUUGAUGAUUCUCUUUGGGAACCUGCAACUCCACCCGAUGAAGCACCAUUACCAUCAGAAGUUAUGACUGAACAGGACUUCAGAUCCUUGUGCCAUGAAUACCAUGAGAUUGAUUUUACUGCUGCCGCAGAAGGUUUUGAUCAUAAACCAUCCUCAGAUACUAAAGAUAUUACAAAUGCUUCUGUGGUCAGUGUAUUGGACUUUCCUAGUUCUGUAUCUGUGCUGCCAGUGGAAUUAGACCAGGAAGCGGUUUGUUCUAAGCCAGAUUCUCAACGUGCUGAUUGUUCUUCUGCCAGGGAUAUAUCAGGCGAAACAUUCGUGCCCUUAUCUGCCAUAGAAGUUCCAGAUGCCGAGAAACAAGCAGCGGAUUCUGACUUGAGAUCUCACGAGUCUUUCGGUGAUGAGAAAAAUCUUGAACUGGAUAUCCUUUCCGUUCCAGUGAAAUCAGAGCAGGAACAACGUCCCUUGCCUGAGGUUGUUCCAGUGAAAGAAGAGCAGGACCCCUGUGCUAACCUUCCUCCACAUGCUUUUAUAAAUGAAAACGUAGGUAGUGGAACCGUUGGUGCACGUGGCUUGGAUGAACCGGAUGUCCUUCCUUUAAGGAAACCUACUCCAACCCACGAAUCAGACUCCUGUGUCUUUGAUGGACCUAACUCUCAAAGUGUUCCAUCUUCCUCAAUGGAUAAGACGGUUGACGAUCUAGAUGUCCCUCCUCCGAGGAUUGCUCUUGAAGCUGAGGAGUCAGAAGAUCAGUUUACAGGUGAAAAUGAUUCUCAGAUUGGUACAUCUCACGUUUGUGAGAAGAUUGAAGAACCUGCUGCCCCUCCAAGCAAUGCUGUUCUUGUUGAAAAGGAGGCAGAAGUUUGUGCUCCAAGUGAACUGGAUUCUCAAAUUGCUUCAUGUUCUUUGCGUAACAAGAAAAUAGACGAACUAGAUUGUCCUCCUUUGAGUGGUUCUGCAUUAAUAGAAGAUGAGUCGGAAGAUCAUAUCUCUGGUGUUCCUGAUUCUCAAAUUGCUCCAUAUUCUCCAGUAAAUGAUAAGAUUGUUGGACCAGGUGCUUCUACAUCAGUAAAUGAUAGAGAGGCGGGGUGGGAAACUUGUCCGUCUCCUGAAUUGGAUCCUCAGUUUGCUCCAUGUCCCUUAAGUGAUUACAAUGUUGGUAAACUAGAUGUGACUCCAUCAUGCAAUGUCCAAGUGGAAGCAGAGAAUGGACCCUAUCAUUCACCUGAAUUUGGUACCCGAAUUGCUCCAUAUUCUUCAGUAAAUGAUAAGAUUGAUGUACCAGGUGCUGCUACAUCAAUACAUGAUAUGGAGGUGGAGCAAGGGUGGGAAGCAUGCGCAUCCCCUGAAUUGGAUUCUCAAAUUGCUCCAUGCCCCGUGAGUGAGGACAGGGUUGGUGAACUAGAUGGAUCUUCAUCAUGCAAUGUCCUAGUGGAAACAGAGAAUGGACCCUAUCACUCACCUGAAUUUGGUACCCAAGUUGCUCCAUAUUCUUCAGUAAAUGAUAAGAUUGAUGUACCAGGUGCUGCUACAUCAAUACAUGAUAUGGAGGUGGAGCAAGGGUGGGAAGCAUGUGCAUCCCCUGAAUUGGAUUCUCAAACUGCUCCGUGCCCCAUGGGUGAGGACAAGGUUGGUGAACUCGAUGUAGCUUCGUCAUGCAAUGUCCAAGUGGAACCAGAGAAUGCAUCCUAUUGCUCACCUGAAUCUGAUUCCCAAAUUGCACCGGGUUCUUUGAAUUCCAGUGCGCUAGCUGAGAGAUCAACAGCGGCUUCUACUUCUGUCAUGCAUAGUACCGAGGAAAACUAUCGGGUCUCUCCUGUUCCACCACACACUGAACCGUUUCAAAGUGUAUGCAGUGAAGAUCCUCCGAAACUACCUCCUCUUCCUCCGCUUCAGUGGAGGCUUGGAAGGCCUCGUUUGGGACUUCUGAGUACAAAAGACCGUGCGCCUGACCCUGCAAGCAGAACAACUUCCAUUUUGCCUGUAUCAAGCCAAAAUAUGGAUAAUGGCCUAGUUUCACUUGACGGAAUGGCAGAACCAAUAGCCUUAGUUUCCUCUCAAGAUAUCAAAGAGAGGCAUCAGAAUUCUGUGGUGGACAAUAGUGAUCAAAGGGUAGAAUCUGGAAUGCCAAGGGAAAAUGACAGGCCAUUUUCAGAGGCUUGUUGGAACAUCAAGCAUCAGGGGCAUAUCAUUUCAUCACCAUCGGAGGCUGAAGAACAUCUGAAUGACAGUGGGGCCACUGCACAUGUAAUUAACCAGCAAGAUUGUCAACAGCACCUCUUGUGUUCAGAUAUUUCAGACAUCGCUAAGCAUCUCAGUUCUACAGAUCCAGCUGCAUCUGAGGAUGACAAAAUGGUGGAUGAUCACAGUGCUGCACGUAGCGUGCAUUUCCACAAAGUGAGCUCUUCAACACCAGGGCAUGUUUCUGAAAAUGGUAGUUGCCAGCAAUCUCAGCACGGUGAAUCAUUAUCAGGGACUUCAGACAAUGAAGAGCAUAGUUCAAAUUCAUCAGAUGAGGAGAAGAAUCUGAAAGACCAGCCAAUCACAAGAGGAUUACCUUUAGACACAACAAAACAUACUGCAUCAGGCUCAGUGUUAGAAGAAGGCAAUAGCCAGGAGAGUCAGUUACAGGAACAAGAUGCGGAUAACCUCAAGGGUGGUCCGUCUGAAGGCCAGUCACAUACUGCAGAAUCAAUGGUAUCUGAAGAUUAUCCCCAUGGUGAUCAUAAUUUGGACACAGAGAGUAUACUUCAGCCAAACCCGUCAUGGCCUAGCAAUAUAAGUAAAUAUCUUGGUGACCUUGAUGAAGGCGGCUAUGCACACGUUGAGCAGCCACCAGUGAUGGGAUGGACUGUUGGACCUCAGAUGCUUCAUCCUAAUUAUGGAAUAUCAACGGAAGGGAGCAGAUUUGAACCAGAGGUCACAGAUUAUCGGUUGACCAGAAAGCCAGUUUCAGUGAGAAACAUCCCAAGAAAUCCACUGGUUGAUGCUGUUGCUGCUCAUGAUAGAAGCACGAUGCGGAAGGUUUCAGAACUUGCUCCCCCCACAGAUAAGCCAAAUACCGAUGAUAAAAACCUGUGGCUUGAGCAGAUAAGGAACAAGGUUGGAGAACUUGCCCCCACCGCAGAUAAGCCAAAUACCAAUGAUAAAAACUUGUGGCUUGAGCAGAUAAGGAACAAGACCUUUGACCUGAAACCAGUGGGUUCUGCUAAACCGACAUCCAUGAUAGCCCCUGCUAGAGCCUCUAGUGGAAACCUGAGAGUUGCUGCAAUAAUAGAGAAAGCGAAUGCCAUACGCCAGGCGGUGGGAAGUGAUGACGAAGACGACGAUAAUUGGAGUGACACAUAG
rnacentral:rRNA from 1 species